UACGGAGGAUGCAAGCGUUAUCCGGAUUUAUUGGGCGUAAAGCGUCCGCAGGUGGCUAUUCAAGUCUGCUGUCAAAGCUCGGAGCUUAACUCCGAAUCGGCGGUGGAAACUGAACAGCUAGAGUGCAGUAGGGGUAGAGGGAAUUCCCAGUGUAGCGGUGAAAAUGCGUAGAGAGUUGGGAAGAACACCGGUGGCGAAAGC
rnacentral:rRNA from 1 species